CGGCGUGGAUAAGACAUGCAAGUCGAACGCGACUUAUCUGGUUAGCAAUAACUAGGUAAGUUGAGUGGCGAAAGGGUGCGUAACACGUGGGAAUUUACCAAAAAGUGGGGAAUAGCUCGGCGAAAGCCGAAUUAAUACCGCAUGUGAUCGAAAGAUCAAAGUCGGGGACCGCAAGGCCUGACGCUUUUUGAGAAGCCCGCGGCCCAUCAGCUAGUUGGCGGGGUAACGGCCCACCAAGGCGAUGACGGGUAGCUGGUCUGAGAGGACGACCAGCCACACUGGAACUGAGACACGGUCCAGACACCUACGGGUGGCAGCAGUCGAGAAUUUUUCACAAUGGACGAAAGUCUGAUGGAGGGACGCCGCGUGGAGGAUGAAGGUUUUCGGAUUGUAAAAUCGUGUCACUGCAGAACAAGGAUGCGUUUAUGAAUA
rnacentral:rRNA from 1 species